UACAGAGGGUGCAAGCGUUAAUCGGAAUUACUGGGCGUAAAGCGUGCGUAGGCGGAUGCUUAAGUCAGAUGUGAAAGCCCUGGGCUUAACCUAGGAACUGCAUCUGAAACUGAGCAUCUAGAGUAUGGUAGAGGAUGGCGGAAUUUCCGGUGUAGCGGUGAAAUGCGUAGAUAUCGGAAGGAACACCAGUGGCGAAGGCGGCCAUCUGGGCCAAUACUGACGCUGAGGCACGAAAGCAUGGGUAGCGAACAGG
rnacentral:rRNA from 1 species